CGGGGGAAGCCCGGUGAAAUUCCGGCACUGUCGCGCAACGGUCAAAGUCCGAAUGCCCG
rnacentral:ncRNA from 2 species